UUCAUCUUUUCACAGUGUAUAAUUUACCUUUUCAUCAUUACAGGUUUCUGCAUUAUGGCUUUCAUUGGCUGAUAUAAGUAACAGCUAAUUUUAUGGCUCGGCUGCCACAGGCAACCCAGUAAUUAAUUAAGUAACUACCACAUUGCUCUUGAACAAUGAGUUGACCAGCUGUUUUAAUCUUGCAGUUAAGCCACCAGGUAACAUCCCUACCUCCAUUAAUGAGCUACCUAGUACUGGUCCUAAUGUCCCUGUAACUCCAGAUACAUCUGAUAAGGAAAGCCAGUGGAAAAUAUACCUAAUAAUUGCUGUAAUUAUGUUCUUGGUUGUGGUGGUUGUCUUGGUUGCUGUCAUUAUUAAGAAGCGUCAAGGAAAACCCCUGGAAACUGUUGACCAGCCUUUGACUGCAGACCAUGCAUUGGAUGUGGAGACUCUUGAUUCACCAUCAGACCUUAAUUGUGACACCAACAAUGAUGGUGAUCAAGAAGUGAAAAUGAAUCAAAGGGUGUGCACCAAAGAGCUUGCACCUUUCACUGGAUUGAAUGAGGAGAUGGCUAUGAGGCAGCUAAGUAGUGGAACUCUUGAUUCUCCUUUGGACCUUGAUCGUGACACCACCUGAGUUUAUGAGAAAUCGUUUUAUUCCACUCAAUUGGAUAUGGUCUAAAAGUGAACUAAAGACUUAACCACCACUGGCUAAGAUAGGAUAAUCACCAAGUUUAAUAGCUAAUUGCUGCAUACAUAGGCUCCUGCAAAUAAUUAAGGAUCUGGUUAUUUUUGUUGUUAUUUGUUGGUUUGGAAAGGAAAUUCUAUAUCCUUAUUCUUAUAACAUAACAACAGAACUCUGUGUUUUUGGUUCUUCAUUGUUCCAUUUGCAUCUAUUUUAUGCGCUGAAUUAAAUCAUGGUUUAGUUCUUUUCUG